UACGGAGGGGGCUAGCGUUGUUCGGAAUUACUGGGCGUAAAGCGCACGUAGGCGGCUUUGUAAGUUAGAGGUGAAAGCCCAGGGCUUAACCCUGGAAUUGCCUUUAAGACUGCAUCGCUAGAAUUGUGGAGAGGUAAGUGGAAUUCCGAGUGUAGAGGUGAAAUUCGUUAGAUAUUCGGAAGAACACCAGUGGCGAAGGCGACUUACUGGACACAUAUUGACGCUGAGGUGCGAAAGCGUGGGGAGCAAACAGGG
rnacentral:rRNA from 1 species